rnacentral:lncRNA from 1 species
AACUAGAUAAAUCAGUUUUUGAUAUAGAUCAAAUGUAUAUUUAUUUCUAUGAUGUUAUUAUUUGUAAAGUGGUAUUAUGUUUUAAUCAUAAAUGCAUUUGUAUUGGUAUAAGAAGAGGAACGAGCAUGCUGUUGUAUGUGUGAAACUAUGUGUGCGGAUACUGCAAUGAAUGUGUGUGGAUGUUUAAAUAGGGGAGGUGGGUGUUGUAGGA